AAAUAAUUCACUUUUUUAUGGUUUUAUACAAAUUUUCCAUUUGAUUUGGUUCUAUUUUCUAUUCAAAACCAUUAUUUUUCACAUAAAAAAUAAUAAUAAACUGGCAAUAAGUGUGGAUAAAGUUUGGCUACACAUCAGGUUGUUUCAAGAACUUCUUCGAAUUUGUGUGGUAUGGAUGCAAGAUCCCAUAUGCUUCCAACUGGUUUGGUUGUGGUCCCAUCGUUUAUUCUGAAAUUCCAGCUUGAACGAAGAAAAUUACAAUAACACAAAAUAGCACCAGAACUUAUUUCGCUCCAAAUUGUACCCACACUCGAUUUACAUAUAUCAAGCUAAACCAUAUGGAAAAAAUUCAGUGAAUCGUAUGAAGAAGAUUACAGUUGUAUUAGAUUGAAAAUAUUCGAUUUGCGGAUGAACUUAAACUUUGGGUACCAAACAACUUCAGAGUUUCUCAAGGAAACUCUUAUUUUUAAAAUGUGCUUUCCACUCUUGAAAAAACCAAACAGUUUGGUCAAUGUUAGAAUAUCUGGUCUUAAUUUUGUU